rnacentral:rRNA from 1 species
GACGAACGCUGGCGGCGUGCUUAACACAUGCAAGUCGAACGGAAAGGCCCUGCUUUUGUGGGGUGCUCGAGUGGCGAACGGGUGAGUAACACGUGAGUAACCUGCCCUUGACUUUGGGAUAACUUCAGGAAACUGGGGCUAAUACCGGAUAGGAGCUCCUGCUGCAUGGUGGGGGUUGGAAAGUUUCGGCGGUUGGGGAUGGACUCGCGGCUUUUCAGCUUGUUGGUGGGGUAGUGGCUUACCAAGGCUUUGACGGGUAGCCGGCCUGAGGGGGUGACCGGCCACAUUGGGACUGGGAUACGGCCCGAACUCCUACGGAGGGCAGCAGUGGGGAAUAUUGCACAAUGGGCGGAAGCCUGAUGCAGCAACGCCGCGUGCGGGAUGACGGCCUUCGGGUUGUAAACCGCUUUCGCCUGUGACGAAGCGUGAGUGACGGUAAUGGGUAAAGAAGCACCGGCUAACUACGUG